GGCCCAUACUCAAAUGUAUUGCACACGUGCGUGCGGUGGUAUCCAAGCUAACAUCUCUGUUUUUGUCAGGUUUGUUAUGACAAUCCAACCAUGCUUCAUAAACAGUAGUGAAGGUUUGUUAUGACAAUCCAACAGGCUUCAUAAACAGUAGUGAAGGUUUGUUAUGACAAUCCAACCAGGCUUCAUGAACAGUAGUGAAGGUUUUUAUGACAAUCCAACAGGCUUCAUGCACAGUACUGAAGGUUUGUUAUGACAAUCCAACCAGGCUUCAUGCACAGUACUGAAGGUUUGUUAUGACAAUCCAACCAGGCUUCAUGCACAGUACUGAAGGUUUGUUAUGACAAUCCAACAGGCUUCAUAAACAGUAGUGAAGGUUUGUUAUGACAAUCCAACAGGCUUCAUGCACAGUACUGAAGGUUUGUUAUGACAAUCCAACCAGGCUUCAUGAACAGUACUGAAGGUUUGUUAUGACAAUCCAACCAGGCUUCAUGCACAGUACUGAAGGUUUGUUAUGACAAUCCAACAGGCUUCAUGAACAGUAGUG
rnacentral:lncRNA from 1 species